rnacentral:rRNA from 1 species
CUACGGGGCGCUGCAGUGAGGAAUAUUGGUCAAUGGGCGCAAGCCUGAACCAGCCAUGCCGUGUGAAGGAUGACGGCCCUAUGGGUUGUAAACUUCUUUUAUACGGGAAGAAACGCCUCUACGUGUAGAGGUUUGACGGUACCGUACGAAUAAGCAUCGGCUAACUCCGUGCCAGCAGCCGCGGUAAUACGGAGGAUGCAAGCGUUAUCCGGAUUUAUUGGGUUUAAAGGGUACGUAGGCGGAAGAUUAAGUCAGUAGUGAAAUCCUGCAGCUUAACUGUAGAACUGUUAUUGAUACUGGUUUUCUCGAAUGUAGUUGAGGUAGGCGGAAUAAGUAAUGUAGCGGUGAAAUGCUUAGAUAUUACUUAGAACACCGAUUGCGAAGGCAGCUUACUAAGCUAUGAUUGACGCUGAGGUACGAAAGCGUGGGGAGCGAACAGGAUUAGAUACCCUUGUAGUC